UACAUUUGCACAUGUAAGAGUGGCUUCUUGCCUCUCCAGUGGAUGCAGACACAGGGAAAGCAUCUCUGAGGGCACUUAACUACAGGGGACCACAGGACUGAGGCUUCGCUUGAAUUAGAUCACAUGGCUGGCUGUAUAUGGGAGAGUCCUCUGUUGCUUCCUUCCCUGGAGAGCAAUACUACCUCCUGGGCACCACCCUAACCUCCAAAAUCAGGGUUCAGCUAAGUUAGUAAUAGGUGGCCACCAUGACUGCCCUAGGCAACAACAGCUGAACUCUUCCUGGGUCACCUUUGUCUUUACUGCCCCCUUUUCCUUGAUUUUUUUCUUUUCUCACCCUGGCUUAAAUCACCUUCAUUUUUUUCCAGUCAUCCUUAGAGCGGUCACCCCGUGUGCAGGUGCCUUACUUUGUAGGACAGGAUGUGGCUGUCAGUUUGUAUCUCUCUCUCUCUCUCUCUCUCUCUCUCUCUCUCUCUCUCUCUCUGUGUGUGUGUGUGUGUGUGUGUGUGUGUGUGUGUGUGUGUGUGUGUGUGUGUGUGUGUACAGCAGUAAAUGGAGGAUGUAUGUAAGGAGAGAAAGAAAUGCCCUAAUAGUUCCUCUAGAAAUCAUGUGUCCUAAGAAUGGCAAGGAUGGAAAGAAAGGUGAAGACUGCUGUCUGGCUUCUCCUACCUAGGUACAGUAGACUGUACCUCACAGCCCCACUGAUCACUGGCUUCUCUUGGCAUCACAGAUGAAACUUAGCUUAAAUGGGUCAUUUCUACCUGUUUUUCUGUGCUCCAGCUGGGUUGUGGGCUCCCCAUGUAGAGCUGAGUUUCUCCACUCCACGGAGUGGCAUCAUGGCUCAAACUGUCAUUCUGAGCUAAAACCUGGUAGAUGCAGUAAAAACCACUUCGAGAAAGAUGGCUUGUGUUAGGCUGAAGCUGAUAGAAUCUUCACCUGCUGCAGCCCUCUGUGGGCCACCCUAGUGUUUGUGAUCCAUGCUUGAAGUAGCUGUGUGCACACACUCCCAGUGCCAGCAAGGUAAUUGUGUGCUUUCUUUAAAGAAGUGUAUGUUUUCUGAAAGCAAAAGAAAAAAGGAAGGCCCACCAUUCAGAGACCACUGUGAGCAUUUUCAUGUAGAUCCCGCUCUCCCUAACUUUUUUGUUCCAGUGCUGGGAAUUGAGUUGUGAGGUUCAGGAGUGCUAAGCAAGUGCUCUACCACUGGUGUGCAUCCUUAGUCCUUGUUUGCUCUGUAAACCAAACUGGGAACACACACAAUAUUCACCCUUUACAUCCAGCUUGUUCACUUGACAUUUCCUCUUGAGCAUUUCUCCAUGCCACGAGUAGUUCUUCAAAAGCAUGUUUUUGAUAAUUGUAAAGUCAAAUGGUUGUAAAUUUAUAAGUUAGCCAAUUGUUUCCCUGUUGUAAAACAUUCAGGUGGUCUUUGCGUUUUCUUUGUGUUUUGUUUUUUGUUAUUUAAAUAAUGCUGUGGUGAGUAUACUUAUAAGCCUUUGAUUUUUAUUCUGAUUUUACCCCUUCCUCACAUACCUGAAGUGGUAUUUUUGGGUAAAAUAAUUUGUUCAUUUCACAGCUUUUCCUCUUCCUUGGUCUGAUGUUUAGAUGCUUUGAGUUCCAGUUACAAACCUACCUUCCUUGUGUCCUACAGAUUCUGAACAUACCAGUUCUUACCAAGCUGUGUGUUCCCAAGAAAGUAUGACUAGGACUGCUCUUUUUAGUGCUAAAAUGUCAUUACUGCAGAUUCCUUUGUGACAGAUCUUUCCAGUUUCUUCAUUUUCAUUGCAACAAUCUACUCCUGCAUGUUAUACUUCCUUUUCAUCCUCGCUGCUAAGGCUUCCCAGUGCUUGGUGAUGUUUUCAGAAUCUUGUACUUUGUGUCCACGAUGGUACUGAAUCUGCUUCUACACAGUCAGCAGAGAUAAAGUGUUGAACUGACCUUGCCACAUGCCUAAUGGAUAAUUCAUAAUUAAGUUUAUAGACUCAAAUGCAUUUGGGCCAUUUGGGAAUCAGUCGCAAAGCAGAAUAACAAAGCUCUUCUUGGAAAAGAAACCACACAGAUGAUUUGGGCUUACCAGAAGUACACUUGUGAAUGUCCCUGCUCCACACUUCAGGUCUUGAUUAGGACAGCACAGUGGCCAGGCUUUGUUAUUGCUAAGCAUGGCUGUCCCAGCUGACGCUAUGUAAACCUUGUGUGCUGCAGUGCUGCAGCAGGUAAACUACAGUGUCCACCCAAAUUGGAUAAGAUCUUCGUCUCUGUGGGAUGGGGCCUGCAGGUUUAAUGUUGAAACAUGCAGCAGAGAUUUUCUGGGCACCAUACUUGGUGUUACUUGACUCUGUCAGAGCUUAGGGCUGGAGAUGUGCAGAAAUCAGUUUUCUGCCCUUCUCUGCCUCAAGGCUUCUCCCCACUGUUCCAUAGACCCAGGGUGUUCAUAGCUGAGACUUGGGAGGCCAUAGCAACUAUUGAGUAUGGCAAAGAUGCUGCCAUACACUUUUUCCACUUGUUUUAAUGCAAAACCCAACAUAAACUGAUGGUGAUGCCAAUGGGUGUAGCGCCUCUUAGGCAGAGUGUAUGAUAAGGGUCCUGACAGAUUUGACAGGGCUAGGACGACUCUCAGAACCUCUGAAGAUAAGUGGCUUCUGGCCUAACACUUGAGGGUUGUAGGUUAGAAUGUGGAACAAUGGCCUUGGAAGGAAGCUCUUUCAAGCACGUUUGCAGCGGUAAGCAAAUGAACUAGCCAAUAUGCAUACCUGAAAAUUCCCUGUAAUUCAUUUCUUCCAUAUGAAGAAUCCAAACUCUACAGAAAUUUUUACAAAUGGCAAAAUUUCCCCUCCUCAUGUAGUCCACCCUAGUUUAAUCAUCUGGGUUAGUGACUGCAAGUGGGUCACUGUGCAGGCGAAAGCCUCCAUUAUGACCAUAGUGUGAUUGAACAUGGCACAAAUCAAAAACUGUUACAGUAUUUAGAGCUGCUGCGGCUAUUCCCUAGCCACGUACAGUAGGAUGAAUCAAUAGUCUAUUGCUGUCAUUCAGGUUGGUGGCAGUCAGUUAGAACAUAUGUAAUAUUCUCUACCUGGUCUGUAGCUGUAACUGUGAUGUACAGGCAAAGGAAAAAUUAAAAAUACUUAUGAAAACAGAUAAUGCAAUGAUACUAGGAUAUACACUUUUGUAUUUUUAUUCUUAUAUAAGGUUAUUUGCUGGCUAUUGUCGGCCUCUAGUUCAGUCUGUAUUAUUUAAAUUCUAAUAUAUGAAUUAUUUGGAUUGAAUUCAUGUUUGGGGCCACGUUGUAUGUAUUGAUGUACAGCCUUGAAUGUGAAUAAUUAUUGUAAACUAUAUUUUACAACUUUUUUCCUGGCUUUAUUAUAUAAAUUUUCUAUUUGGUCAUGGUUUAAUCAUAUAAUUUAAUGAAACAACUUCUUUUUUUUUCAAAUAUCUGUGCUUUAGAUGUAAUUACCGGAUGAUGGAUUUCCCUCGUAUGCUCGGUAGUCUUGUAAUAAAAGCAUGUAGAGUGUACA
rnacentral:lncRNA from 1 species